UGUCCUGCCAUCAACCUUUAUCCAGUCUGAAAAGCAAAGUCUACUGCUUCAUCUUGGCCAUCCUUACAGGAAAUGACUUCUCCCAGCAGCAGCACUGGAGGCUGAGUCCCAUUAUCUGAAGAUACCGAUACAUUUUCUCUCCGAUCUCUCUCCAAGCCCAAAGGAUUGGAUUCACAACAAAAAUCCAAUCCUCAAAUUCAGAUCAACGUCAGAAGUUGAAAGGGUUCAGAAGAUUAUAUUAUACAGAAAUAUUUUUCCAUUCAUAACCACAUGUGAACAUCAUAUUUAAAUUAAGUGUUUAGCAUGUCUCCAACUUCCUGAAGUAGCUGAUGCAAUCCACUGAUUGAUUGUACAGGGUAAACUCUGCAUUCCUGUGGUUGGAAGUGAUUGGACAACCCAUCUCUAUCCUCAGUUGCCAAGCUCGAGCUAUUUAAGCAGCCCCGUAGAAGCCUAACUUUUAAAAACUUUUUCUUUGUAUCAAGGGAUCUUACACUGAGCAAAAACUAGAUAAAUAUCAUAGUUAACUUUAUUUUUAAUAUACAUAAUCUGACUCCAUCAGAAGAUUUGUACAGUCUUUUGCAAAUUCAGAGAACCACUUAUCAUUCUUCAUGCUGUAAUAACCUUAAAGUGCUUGCUUUAUUUUGACUUCCAAAGUCCAAAGCAGUACUUGCAAUGAUUUUUAGGAAAUUGCCACCACUUCACAAAAUAACCCAGCUGAAAUGAAAGGGGUAGUAUACAAGCAGCUCAGGUUGAAGCCUGGUGAAAGCAAGGUCAGGGUGAAACCCAUCAAAUGGCAUCAUGGAGAUGCACUUUGAAGGCAGGUGCAACUCAAAGAAUUCAGGACAUGCUGUAAGAGCAGUGCUGUGACAGACUGGUCUGUUUGGAUUGUCCAUAUAAACCAAGGUUAAACUAUAACCCCAUGGGAAGAGGGCUUCAUUUGUGAAGGGCUCCAUUUGUACCACAAGAGUCAUGUUGAGCUAGUUACAAUUAGUUCAUCAUGCAGUGAGGACAAGACAAGCCCAAAACAAUCUUGAAGAUAUGAACAUAAAUACCAGCUUUCAUCUGAGAAAAGGAAUAUUGGAAAAAAAAAAAAAAAUGUUCUCCCUCCCCCCCCAUAAAAAUAAAUAAAUAAAUAAAUAAACUUUGUUAGGAGUAUGUGAACAAUCUUUGUAGACAAUCCUCACUUGUGCUUUCACUAAGCUCUCUCUCUUGGAAGGCAAUAUUUGUAAAGGCCACACUGAGAAUGAAAUGCUCAACUUUAGAUAGCAGCUCACCUGCAUCAUCUUCGUCUGUGGUGUUGAUCAAAAAGGGGGAAAUCAUCGCUUACUUCAUCGUUAUUGCUUUAUAGGACACAUUUACCCACAGUUGAACAUGUUCAUCUGUAAAUUAGUGGGCCUCCAAUAGGAAGGAAAGUUAUUACCUUAUGUAAUUAGACUUUAUUAGCAUACCAGUUCCUCUCUAGGGUCCUACAGGAAACUAGAAAACUAAGGAAGAAGUUACAAUUUUGCUCCUUUUUGGUGCACUACAAAUGUGCAUGUGUAGGUAAAUCUCAGAAGUGCCCUGAAUUAUUCUGCCCCUGCAGUGUACACAAAAGCAGAAUGGGUUAAGAUCCCAUGUUAAAUAGGUGCUUAGCAGAGCUGAAGGGCUUGCCAGCAGUCAUGCAAGGAGUGGUUAGACAGACAGGGUGUUGCCAGUGCUCUAGUUAGCCCCCACAACCUAGCAUGUUGGCAUGGCUCAAGAUCUUAAAUUCUAAGAUAAGCUUAUGAAAGUACUCAUCACCUCUUUCAUCUGAAUUUCAUCUGAACAAACAGGGUGGGGAGAAAAAGAAAAAAAAAAAAAAAAAAAA